rnacentral:rRNA from 1 species
AUUGAACGCUGGCGGCAGGCCUAACACAUGCAAGUCGAGCGGAGCGGCGGACGGGGGAGUAAUGCUAGGGAAUCUGCAUGUGAGUGGGGGAUAACGUCCGGAAAUGGGCGCUAAUACCGCAUCCUAUCAGCUGAGCCUGGGUCGGAUUGGCUAGUUGGUGGGGUAAAGGCCGACCAAGGCGACGAUCCGUAACUGGUCUGAGAGGAUGAGCAGCCACACUGGAACUGAGACACGGUCCAGACUCCUACGGGAGGCAGCAGUGGGGAAUAUUGGACAAUGGGCGAAAGCCUGAUCCAGCCAUGCCGCGUGUGUGAAGAAGGUCUUCGGAUUGUAAAGCACUUUAAGUUGGGAGGCGUUACCAACAGAAUAAGCACCGGCUAACUCCGUGCCAGCAGCCGCGGUAAUAC